UACGUAGGUGGCGAGCGUUAUCCGGAUUUACUGGGCGUAAAGCGUGUGCAGGCGGACGGGCAAGUGGUGUAUGAAAGCUCCAGGCUUAACCUGGAGAGGUUAUGCCAGACUGCACGUCUUGAGGCAGAGAGAGGGACAUGGAAUUCCGGGUGUAGUGGUGAAAUGCGUAGAGAUCCGGAGGAACUCCAGAGGCGAAGGCGGUGUCCUGGCUCUGACCUGACGCUCAGACACGAAAGCAUGGGGAGCGAACGGG
rnacentral:rRNA from 1 species